AUGGAUCACGGUAUUGUUAACCUCAAAGCAAAACACGAGCAUGCAAUAUUCAUUUGCAGAAGCAGGAAAACGAGUGGGGAGAUGCAAUUCGGGCUGUGGACAGGAGAGGGGGCCCUGCGUAGAGCAGGAGGGAAAAGCUAUCGGCUAUGGAGACGGAGAGCAGCCAGAGGUCGGCAAAGCCCAGGGACAGCCUCAGCCCUGGUGGAUCAAGCCCCAUCAUCAGGCUUCAUCAACAUGGAGUUAUACCAGCACGAGUGGAAUGUGAGGUAUAUACUGAGAGUACUGUAUGAUUUCUUGUAAUUCAGAAAAACGACUGGGCUGAAUUGGAUAAUGAGGAUUUUGACUGCCAUUCAUCGCAAGAACUUCAUUCCUCUUUUAUACAUAUUUUCCUCUGUCUGUGGUAUUGUGUGUCAUAAGCGUUCUAACCAGAUAUAUCGACAUGAGCCUACAGUUAACUGCUUAUUAGCAGAGGUAUGUAUGUGUUAGAUCUUGUUUUCAAAGAAAAGGCGUAACACACUGCCAUUCCUACUAAGGCUGUGUAGACCCAGAGUUUUUUUCAUGGACAAAUUUCAGAAGGAACUCAGCUGACAAAAAUCAACUUAUUUUAUUUACAUACUCUGCUGUAAAGGGAGAGAUGCAGUUUUCCUCAAAGCAGUGGAAGCGUUUAAUAUGUUAUUGUGAAGAGAAUUUGCAGAGCAUAUCAACCUGAAGGUACAAACUACAAGCUUUAUCCUUUUUUCUAUGUGAGAAUUUAAUGAAAUACGUUGAUUAGUAUUAACACGGGUUAGUUUGCCAGAGCAAAGUUGAGGUUUUAAGAAGUUAUAAAGUUCAGUGGGGUCAAUUUUAUUUGGAUGCUCCUGUAAUAAUAAAGUCAGAUUCUUCAAAUUACA
rnacentral:lncRNA from 1 species